UAACGCGAAGAACCUUACCAGGUCUUGACAUACUAUGCAAAUCUAAGAGAUUAGACGUUCCCUUCGGGGACAUGGAUACAGGUGGUGCAUGGUUGUCGUCAGCUCGUGUCGUGAGAUGUUGGGUUAAGUCCCGCAACGAGCGCAACCCUUAUUAUCAGUUGCCAGCAUUAAGUUGGGCACUCUGGUGAGACUGCCGGUGACAAACCGGAGGAAGGUGGGGGUGACGUCAAAUCAUCAUGCCCCUUAUGACCUGGGCUACACACGUGCUACAAUGGAUGGUACAACGAGUUGCGAACUCGCGAGAGUAAGCUAAUCUCUUAAAGCCAUUCUCAGUUCGGAUUGUAGGCUGCAACUCGCCUACAUGAAGUCGGAAUCGCUAGUAAUCGCGGAUCAGC
rnacentral:rRNA from 1 species